GGAGGAAAAGAAACCAACUGGGAUUCCCUGAGUAACGGCGAGCGAAAAGGGAUCAGCCCAGCGCCGAAUCCCCCAUCCUUGCGGUGGCGGGAAAUGUGGCGUUUAGGAGUGAGCGUGCCGAGACAGAGCUCUGCAGCAAGUCCCCCUGACCGGGGCUGUUACCCAGAGCGGGUGCGAGGCCCAUAGCCGCUAGGCUCGUCUCGGAUGCGAUCUCCUGGGAGUCGGGUUGCUUGGGAGUGCAGCCCUAAUCGGGUGGUAAACUCCACCUAAGGCUAAAUACCGCCGUGAGACCGAUAGCAAACAAGUACCGUGAGGGAAAGUUGCAAAGAACUUUGAAGAGAGAGUUCAAGAGUACGUGAAACUGCUCAGAGGUAAACGGGUGGGCCCUCGAAAUCCUGUGGUGGGAGGAUUCAGUCUGGAGCCGCGGGCGUGCUGGUCGGAAAAUCGAAGUAGGGCUUCCCCGAUCGGGGGCCGUCCGACCGCACGGAUCCCGUGCUGCACCCGACGCAUUUGUCUCCCGCCCGAAGGACGCCGCAGCCGGUUGGGUAGCUGCAAGCGCGACGGCCAGAAGGUCGGACGAGGCAGGUGGCCGGAGGAGGGACUCGUUCCUUCCACCGGUUGUUAGCCGGUCCGUCAGUGGCUCGUCACCCGACCGAGGUGCCACGAGGCCCUUCGGGGCUCUCACGUUUCCUCCUCUGGAUGUCGGGACAGAGCGUCGCAGGUGAAUUCCGCCGUCCUAUCGCACUCUCGAGAGUGGACAGGCGCACGGCGUGCACCGUUGGCGACGCCGGACCCGUCGGAGGCCGGAGGCUGGCGGCGAGUAGGUCGGUCACCCACC
rnacentral:rRNA from 1 species